UGAACGCUGGCGGCGUGCUUAACACAUGCAAGUCGAACGAACCUUCGGGUUAGUGGCGGACGGGUGAGUAACGCGUGGGAAUCUGCCCUCAGGAGGGGGAUAACGGUUGGAAACGGCCGCUAAUACCCCAUAUGCCGAGAGGUGAAAUGAAUUUCGCCUGAGGAUGAGCCCGCGUCUGAUUAGCUAGUUGGUGAGGUAAGAGCUCACCAAGGCAUCGAUCAGUAGCUGGUCUGAGAGGAUGAUCAGCCACACUGGGACUGAGACACGGCCCAGACUCCUACGGGAGGCAGCAGUGGGGAAUUUUCCGCAAUGGGCGAAAGCCUGACGGAGCAACGCCGCGUGAGGGAUGAAGGCCUCUGGGCUGUAAACCUCUUUUAUCAAGGAAGAAGAUCUGACGGUACUUGAUGAAUAAGCCACGGCUAAUUCCG
rnacentral:rRNA from 1 species